ACUCCUACGGGAGGCAGCAGUGGGGAAUCUUGGACAAUGGGCGCAAGCCUGAUCCAGCCAUGCCGCGUGAGUGAUGAAGGCCUUAGGGUCGUAAAGCUCUUUCGCCAGGGAUGAUAAUGACAGUACCUGGUAAAGAAACCCCGGCUAACUCCGUGCCAGCAGCCGCGGUAAUACGGAGGGGGUUAGCGUUGUUCGGAAUUACUGGGGCGUAAAGCGCGCGUAGGCGGAUCGGAAAGUUGGGGGUGAAAUCCCGGGGCUCAACCCCGGAACUGCCUCCAAAACUAUCGGUCUAGAGUUCGAGAGAGGUGAGUGGAAUUCCGAGUGUAGAGGUGAAAUUCGUAGAUAUUCGGAGGAACACCAGUGGCGAAGGCGGCUCACUGGCUCGAUACUGACGCUGAGGUGCGAAAGUGUGGGGAGCAAACAGGAUUAGAUACCCUGGUAGGAUAGCG
rnacentral:rRNA from 1 species